UACAGAGGUCUCAAGCGUUGUUCGGAUUCAUUGGGCGUAAAGGGUGCGUAGGCGGCGCGGUAAGUCGGGUGUGAAAUCUCGGAGCUUAACUCCGAAACUGCAUUCGAUACUGCCGUGCUUGAGGACUGGAGAGGAGACUGGAAUUUACGGUGUAGCGGUGAAAUGCGUAGAUAUCGUAAGGAAGACCAGUGGCGAAGGCGGGUCUCUGGACAGUUCCUGACGCUGAGGCAGCGAAGGUCAGGGGG
rnacentral:rRNA from 1 species